UGAAAGGCGAAGAAGGGAAUAAGUACCCUGAAGCGCUCUGCCCAGAGAGGCCCCGGUUGGUGAAAGGGGCGUGCAGAGCAGCGGGGGAAAUACCUCCCGGAGCUGCAAGCUGAAUGAGAAGCUUUCUCUAGUAGGCCGUGCCGCGUGCGAGCGUUACAAACGCAGGAGUGUUGUCCUACUCUGGGGCAUGCACUCGUGAGGCCGUUUCCGUGAGGAGGCGGCAAACAGAGGUGGUACCGCGAUUUUUUCUCGCCCUCUGC
rnacentral:ncRNA from 1 species